ensembl:lincRNA
GACCCUCUGUACAGUUCACAAGCUCCAGACCGUAAUAGAUAACACUUGCUCUCAUCAGCCUUCUGGUCCUUGCCUUAGCUUAUUUCUGACUGUCCCUCCCAGGCAUGGGUCUGCUAAGCCUUGGUGAUACUUCUCCACCCAACUUCUUUGUCAGUCUUCCCACCAGGGAUAGGUGACCCCAGUCAUUUGAGAACAUUUCAACAUAAUGUGCCCCUUAUUUUUCAUCUUGAGACUUCCAAGCCCAUGCUGACAACUCGGAGAAAAACUAACACAUGGAGAAAGGUAGUGUCAAAAACCUCCUGGCUUAUGACUUCCCAAAUUUGCUGGCUGUUGAGUGCAGCACAUUCACAGCAUCAUCUUUUAGGAUUUGAAAUAGGUCAACUGGAAUUCCAUCGCCUCCACUAGUUUUGUCCAUAAUGAUGCUCCCUAAGGCCCACUUGACUACACAUUCCAGGAUGUCUGUCUCUAGGUGAGUGAUCAUACCAUUGUGAUUAUCUGGGUCAUGAUGAUCUUUUUUGUAUAGUUCUUCUGUAUAUUCUUGCCACCUGUUCUUAAUAUCUUCUGCUUCUGUUUGGUCCAUAAUAUUUCUAUCCUUUAUUGAGCCCAUCUUUGCAUGAAAUAUUCCCUUGGUAUCUCUAAUUUUCUUAAAGAGAUCUCUAGUCUUUCCCAUUCUAUUGUUUUCCUCUAUUUCUUUGCACUGAUCACUGAGGAAGGCUUUCUUAUCUCACCUUACUAUUCUUUGGAACUCUGCAUUCAAAGGAGCAUAUCUGGAACGAGGGCGCGGACGACGGCGGCGGCGGUUUCUUACUUUCAAAAAAACCCUUAAUUGAGCGUAUUGAAUAAGCUGUGUAGGUGGGGUAUAGCUGUAACCUUUGUUCUCUAGCCCUUGGUAGUUUGACUGGCUGAUUCUCUGUUUCUAAUAGGUUUGGAGAAGAGAGUAUGACUCGACUAAUAAGGUGGAUGCAGAAACACAAGAUUCCAUUGGAUGCUUCAGUGCUUGAUAUUGGAACCGGAAAUGGUGUUUUCCUGGUUGAACUUGUUGGCAAAAUUUGGUUUCUCUGAUGUUACUGGAAUUGAUUAUUCUCCGUCUGCAAUACAGCUUUCUCAAAAUAUUAUAGAAAAAGAAGGUUUAUCUAACAUUAAGUUGAAGGAUUUGAACUUUUCGAAGAGCUGCCCACACCCAAGUUCAGCUUUGGAGGCCGAUCUGGAAACAGUGUAGCUGCGUUGGUUUUCCAAAAAACAUGAGGCUUUUCACUGGACAGACUCAGUGUCUUUUUAAGAAGCUCUACAUCAAAGUAAACCUGACACAGAAAUUGCAAGUGCAAGUAAAUGUUUAGUAAGUACACAGGAUGCACAUUUUAAGGAGAAAUAAUGGGUUGAUUAAAAAAAAAAUCAUGAGCAUGUAAGUGGUUGGGUUUUAGAGAUCAACCAAGACUAAUUUAAAAUUUUUCUUUUGUAUUUGAGAUAUAAAUAUUUCUCUUUCAGAUUAAAAAAAUAAUUCCUGUAACUGCUGAACAGCUAAAACUUUAAAGCAGUAAAUGAAUUUACGGAAAGCUUGUAUCCUUGAUUUUUGCACCUCGGUAAAGGUGAAUUGAAUAUAGUUAUUUAUGAAGAUUUGAUCAAGCUAUUCCAGGGUCAGAAUAAUAAGCCAAAUGACUUUCUUACUUUUUUAUUGGACUGUUAUAAAACAUAGUGUGAUAUUUUGGGUUGAAUGGUGAUUUUUUUAAAAUGCUUUAAUAUCUGAGAAAAUGUCUCAGCCCUUACAUGUGUAAUUAAAAUCAGAUAAAUGUAUCAGUUGAUCAAGAAAUAAAAAAAAAAGGAGCAUAUCUUUCCUUUUCUCCUUUGCCUUUCACUUCUCUUCUUUUCACAGCUAUUUGUAUGACCUUCUCAAACAACCAUUUUACCUUUUUGCAUUUCUUGCACUGGCAAUCAAAAAAAAAAAAAAAAACAGCAACAACAAACCAAAACUACUAAAUGAAUCCAUACAUCAAACUACUACCGGAUCAUGGCAUCCAGUCCCAUCACUUCAUGGUAAAUAGGUGGGGAAACAGUGGAAACAGAUUUUGGGGGCUCCAAAAUCACUGAAGAUGGUGGUUGCAGCCAUGAAAUUAAAAGACGCUUACUCCUUUNNNNNNNNNNNNNNNNNNNNNNNNNNNNNNNNNNNNNNNNNNNNNNNNNNNNNNNNNNNNUGACUGUAUAGAGCUUCUCCAUCUUUGGCUGCAAAGAAUAUCAUCAAUCUGAUUUUGGUGUUGACCAUCUGGUGAUGUCCAUGUGUAGAGUCUUCUCUUAUGCAUUUUUGGAAGAGGGUUUGCUAUGACCAGUGCAUUUUCCUUCUUUGGCUACAAAGAAUAAUAAUCAAUCUGAUUUUGGUAUUGACCAUCUGGUGAUGUCCAUGUGUAGAGUCUUUUCUUGUGUUGUGCUAUGACCAGUGCAUUCUCUUGGGAAAGCUCUAUUAGCCUUUGCCCUGCUUCAUUCUGUACUCCAAGGCCAAAUUUACCUGUUAUUCCAGGUAUCUCUUGACUUCCUACUUUUGCAUUCCAGUCCCCUUUAAUGAAAAGAAAAUCUUUUUUGGGUGUUAGUUCUAGAAGGUAUUGUAGGUCUUCAUAGAACCAUUCAACUUCAACUUCAUCAGCCUUACUGGUCAGGCAUAGACUUGGAUUGCUGUGAUAUUGAAUGGUUUACCUUGGAAAUGAACAGAGAUCAUUCUGUCGUUUUUGAGAUUGCAUCCGAAUACUGCAUUUUGGACUCUUGUUGACUAUGAUGGCUGUUCCAUUUCUUCUAAGGUUCUAGCUAAGGUUCUUCUAAGAUUCUAGCAUAUUGGGCACCUACAGACCCGGGGAGUUCACCUUUAUGUGUCCUAUCUUUUUUCCUUUUUAUACUGUCCAUGGGGUUCUCAAGGCAGGAAUACUGACAAGGUUUGCCACUUCUUUCUCCAGUGGACCACAUUUUGUCAGAACUCUCCACCGUGCCCCGUCUGUCUUGGGUGGCCCUACACGGCAUGGCUCAUAGUUUCAUUGAGAUAAACAAGGCUGUGGUCCAUCCAAUCAGUUUGAUUAGUUCUCUGUGAUUGCAAUUUUCAUUCUAUCUGCCCUCUGAUGGAUAAGGAUAUGAGGCUUAUGGAAGGCAUAGCACAAGCCCUCUUGGAGGAGGUCACCAUUAACCCCACCACAGAGCCGCCAUAACUGACACAGGACUGGGAAAACAGACUCUUGGAGGGCCAAUCAGUUUGAUUAGUUCUCUGUGAUUGCAAUUUUCAUUCUAUCUGCCCUCUGAUGGAUAAGGAUAUGAGGCUUAUGGAAGGCAUAGCACAAGCCCUCUUGGAGGAGGUCACCAUUAACCCCACCACAGAGCCGCCAUAACUGACACAGGACUGGGAAAACAGACUCUUGGAGGGCACAAACUAAACCUUGUGUGCACCAGGACCCAGGAGGAAGGAGCAGUGUCCCCACAAGAGACUGACCCAGACUUGCCUGAGACUUGCUCUUGAGAGUCCCUCGGACCGUAAGGAGACCCAACCAGUGAAUCCUAAAGGAAAUCAGACUUGAAUAUUCACUGGAAGGACUGAUUAUUGAAGCUGAAACUACAACACUUUGAGCCACCUGAUAUGAAGAACUGACUCAUUGGAAAGACCCUGAUGCUGGGAAAGAUUAAAGGUGGGAGUAAAAGGGGAUGACAGAGGAUGAGAUGGUUGGAUAGCAUCACGAACUCUAUGGACAUGAGUUUGAUUUGGUGAUGGACAGGGAAGCCUGGCAUGCUGCAGUCCAUGGGGUCACAAAGAGCCACUGAACUGAUAUGACUUCAAGGAAGCCCUGUGUAUUGAAUUGAACUCUGCCUUAUGUCAGCUCAGCCAUCUGCGUCAUAGAUUUUGUCAGGUUUAUGGUUCUGAGUAUUAGAAUUAAAUUCUUUUUUGUUGUUGUUCAGGCUUAAUUUAUGACUCAUGACCAGGGUGAGUGUCAUGCACUGGUUGAGUGUCUAUUAGCCAGAGACCCUCAGGCUUAAAAAUAAGCCAUCCUUAUAAAGUAUGAAACUUUCUCUCAUUUGGGCCCAAACCUGACUAUGCAGAGUUAUAUGAUUAACAAGCAAGAAGAGAAACACCGAAGUUGGCAUGUGUUUAGAUAUCAGUGGACCCUGAAAACAACAUUUGUGUGCACCUGAU